rnacentral:tRNA from 1 species
GUUUUAAUAGUUUAAUUAAAAAUAUAGAUUUUGUAAUUCUAAGAUAAUAAUUUUUUUAAAACU